rnacentral:rRNA from 1 species
AGUGAACGCUGGCGGUAGGCCUAACACAUGCAAGUCGAACGGCAGCACAGUAAGAGCUUGCUCUUACGGGUGGCGAGUGGCGGACGGGUGAGGAAUACAUCGGAAUCUACUUUUUCGUGGGGGAUAACGUAGGGAAACUUACGCUAAUACCGCAUACGACCUACGGGUGAAAGCAGGGGAUCUUCGGACCUUGCGCGAUUGAAUGAGCCGAUGUCGGAUUAGCUAGUUGGCGGGGUAAAGGCCCACCAAGGCGACGAUCCGUAGCUGGUCUGAGAGGAUGAUCAGCCACACUGGAACUGAGACACGGUCCAGACUCCUACGGGAGGCAGCAGUGGGGAAUAUUGUACAAUGGGCGCAAGCCUGAUCCAGCCAUACCGCGUGGGUGAAGAAGGCCUUCUGGUUGUAAAGCCCUUUUGUUGGGAAAGAAAAGCAGCAGGUUAAUACCCCGCUGUUCUGACGGUACCCAAAGAAUAAGCACCGGCUAACUUCGUG